CCCAGAUGAUAACCCAAGGACCACAAACCAGGCCCCUCCUUUUGUCUCCUGUCUGCUUUUUGACCGGUUCCACAAUCCUUUCCUGUAGUUCCUGGAUCACCCCUGCUCUUCCUGUGGCUUCCCCUGUUUCUACGCGCCCCGGUGCAUCGUAGCAGUUUAUAUAGGGACAUUUAAAUGAUCCUCUCUCUUGAAGCGGCAAUGUGCUGGGAAAGGAGGACCUUCACCCUGGCUUUGAGAAGACAGGGAUGUAGAGGGCAACACCUCUGC